rnacentral:lncRNA from 1 species
CAGAAAUCCUUGAGUAGGAAUAACAGCCGCAAAUGGAUUAUACAGGCAUGUACUUCUGGUAGAUUAAUUUGCUAGCAUUGGACACAGUGUCAUAGUCAGGGAAGUCUUUCUUUUGGGAUGUAAAAAAAGAUUUUUUCCAACAAAAAUAUUAAUUUGCCAACAUCUUUUAUUAUUUGGUUUUAAAACCAAAACCGAACCAUUUCAAACCGAAGCCGAAUUAAGAAAACCGAACCGCACCAAUAUUAUUUGGUUUGAUUUUGGUUUUUGAUUUUAGAAACCGAAUAGAUAUGGUUACGGUGCCCUUUUUGGUUCAAACCGCACCAAAUCGAACCACGCUCAUACCUAAGCUUUACUAGCUUAUAUCCCAUGUUUAGUAGUAUAAUAAAGUUUUAAUAUUUAAUUAAUUUUGAGGCGGCCUUCUAUAAUAGAUCCAGAUAAUUAGGCUUAUUGAUGUGUUUGAAUUAAUAUAUUUAAAUAAGUCUGGUAAAAUUAUUUUUAAUACUUGGAUGUGUUACAAUAGAUUUGAAUAUAAAUUAUGCCUAGGUUAAAUAUUUUUAAUAUUUAAAUGUGUUUUAAUAAGAAUAAAAUAGGGUUGUUUUUAAAAUGAAAAGGCCCGUCAACCUUCCCAAGUAUGGACCGGCCAAAUUUUUUAAUAUUUUGGCUUUAACAGUUUACUAGCUUAUAUGCAGUGCGAUGCACAAAGAAAUUUUAAUAUUUGUUAACUUUUAUUUAUAUUUAAUUUUGUUAUACAUUUAAUUUUGUUCAAGAGAUGUAUUUGGGUUAAAAUUCUAUGUUUCACUUUUUUAUGUUAGUCUUAAGGAUGUCCUUGGAUUAAUAUAAUUCUAUUAGGCCCGUUAAUAUAUGUAAAUAUAUAGGCCCAACAAAUGUGUUUAAAUCAUAAUAUAUGAAGAUAUUGUAAUUAAAGUAGGUUUGACUUAAUUGAAUAAGUUUUAAAAUAAAGAAGCCCGUAAAUAGGCCCAAAUACCAACCGGCUCAAAUUAUAUACUGAGCAGAAAUAAUGGAAUUUUUGAAUGACCUUUGAUACUCACCAUUAUAUGACUUAUCAGCUCCAUCAUAAAGUCUACAGCCCAUUUGGUUGGAAGGAAAGGAAAUGAGGUGGUCAAAAAAAUGAAACCAUUUUUUUAGUUAAUGACCUUUGAUACUCACCAUUAAUUGCAGUAAAUGUUUAGUUAAUCAACAUUUUGCACCAGGAACCAUUGCAAAGAAGAAGAAAAGUGUAGCUAAUUUCCACAUAACCCAUUUCAUAUUUGUGUUCAUAAUUGCUUUUGUAUUCCAAGUUCUAGCCUCUAAUUUGUGACAUAACUCUAACAUUUGUUUAUAUAUGAUAUACUAUAUUUCAAGAUAGGAUUGUAAUAUUAAUAAAUUGUGUAAUUUUGUUUAUAUUUAGUGUAAAAUAUGAUGAAGUAGAAUUUAAAUAAAUUUAUGGAUUACAAAGAGUAUAAAUUGGCUUUCAGAGGUCAACAGGUUGUCGAUUUUCUUAUGGGGGAUAAACUGUAUGACUAUCAUCUCUAAUCCUAUGUAAACAGGUUGGUGCAAUGGCCCAUGAGAAAAUUGAAAAGGAGUUUGUAGACGAUUUUAUAUCAAGUAAGUUGUUUUGAACUUGUAUAUUAUUGCAUCCUCUGUGAUUGGAUUUUGAUAAACUCAUCUGUCUUGUUUUUUCCCCUUAUUAGUUAUAUCUACUUUGGUUGCUCAGUUUCUGGCUACCCAUUGAGUGCGGCAUAUUGUAUAUCAAAGAUCACAAAUGCUUUGGAACGGAAAUGAAAAUUUCUGUAACUCAUUGAUUCAAGAGUCUUGCAGUUUGGCCAAGAUAUAAG